GGAUGUAGCUCAGUGGUAGAGCAUGUGCUUAGCAUGUGUGAAGCCCUGGGUUCGAGGCCCAGCACCA
rnacentral:tRNA from 1 species